AGAGUUUGAUCCUGGCUCAGGAUGAACGCUAGCUACAGGCUUAACACAUGCAAGUCGAGGGGAAACGACAUCGAAAGCUUGCUUUUGAUGGGCGUCGACCGGCGCACGGGUGAGUAACGCGUAUGCAACCUGCCCUUCACAGGGGGAUAACCGGGAGAAAUUCCGACUAAUACCGCAUACGUCCUCCGGGGGCAUCCCCGGGGGAUGAAAGAAUUAUCGGUGAAGGAUGGGCAUGCGUGAUAUUAGGUAGUUGGCGGGGCAACGGCCCACCAAGGCCCACGAUAUCUAGGGGUUCUGAGAGGAAGGUCCCCCGACAUUGGUACCUGAGACACGGACCAAACUCCUACGGGAGCA
rnacentral:rRNA from 1 species